rnacentral:lncRNA from 1 species
GGCCAGGGAAAACCUCACAGAAAGCUUGGGUUCCGGGUGCAGAAUGGGGGAGCUUGGCAUAUGGUUAACAGGACAGAGGACAGAGAAGGGACAGAGAGGAGAACAGUGAUGGCGUGGAGGAGCUGGGAAGACUCAGAACCGGAGGAUGAUGUUUGUGGAGGAAGAAGAUCUCAGAGGGAGGUUUACUUGCAGCAGGACUUUGCAUGAGGACAAAGAUGGACCAAGCUCACCUCCCUCAAGCUCAGAGACUGCAAAUGGACCUAACGCCUUACCUGCUGCCACCCAGGCCCAUCCUGGCAGAGUGGAGACCACCGGCAGGCAACAGAUUGGGUAAGAGCAAACUUCAAGGGAGAACUCUACCCCCCCAACUUUUCCAUCUAGUGUAGACUUUCUAGCCUGGCAUAAACUAGAACCGGAAGAAAGAGAAGUGUCCUGGAUGGGUAGCCAUGAGACGCCAGGGAACGUCCAUCAGCAUUUUAACAUCCAAGUGACAAGCUGAUACGUGGUGUUGUCCUGAGUAGCACGCACAGGCCAUCGCUUUACAAAAUAAUGUCCUGCGAAUACUUUGGGCGGUAACAAUAGGGUGCCUAAGUUCCUAGUGGGUCACGCCAGCUCUCUCUCACCUAUCCUCACAGAGGCACGUGUUCAUUUUGGCCCCUCUGGAGUUCCCUAAAACAAGUCAUGCUCUCGAGUUAGCUAUUGCAUGACCUCUUGGCUCGAUGCACGGUGGCCUUUCUUCUUCAAAUUAAAUUCUAUUCCAGAAACCUCAACUGCAACAUCAACGGUUCCCAAAGCCUUCUGGGACACAGCGUCCUGUGAUCGUGCACCCACUUCUCUGUGAUGGUCUGUAGAUCAGUGCUUUCAGCUCCCAUCAUGCCUCACCAGGGCGAUGACUCCAUAUUUGCUCUCCCUCAGUGCCUUUGACAUUUCCAUGUAUUUGGUGGCAGACUGCACGUCAGACUGCUGCUCACACCAGCUGCCUGCUGGUUCACAUCGGUGGUUAAUGUUUUCGCCAAUGCUAUGUAUAGUUACUCCAUGGGCAUUCAGAAGAAAAAUAAGGCACCAUGCUUAGGCUCUACCCCUAAAGUCAAAAUUGUUGAUUUAAUGAAUGACAAUUUUAAAGUGUUUCCUUUGUGGUAGCAUCAAUGUGCCACUAUGUUACAAUCCUGAGACCUUGCACAAACCUUAUCAGGCAUGCCAAGGAUGCCUCUCAUAUAUGAGGAUCAGAAGCAAAACUUACACUUGAUUGUCAGGUCUCUUCUGUGUGAACACACACACACACACACACACACACACACACAGAGUAUAAAUUCUCUGUGACUCUCUCUUACACACAUGCACACAUACACAUACAUGCACACACACACACACAGAGUAUAAAUUCUCUGUGACUCUCUCUUACACGCAUGCACACAUACACAGACAUGCAUACACACACACACACACAUAUGUAAUAUAAAUCGUUCUCUUAAAAGCACACACACACAUAUAUAAUAUGAAUUCUCUCUCUUAUACAACUACACACACACAUAUAUAAUAUAAACUCUGUGUUUCCUAUAUCACAUAUACAUAUAUAAUAUAAAUUCUCUCUUACACACAUGUAUACAUGGACAAGCACAUACAUAUAUGUAACAUAAAUCUCUCUCUUACAUACAUAUAUAAUAUGUAUAUUCUCACUCUGUGUCUCUCUCUUAUAAGACACACACACAUACACACACACAUACACACACAUGUAACCUUACUAAACUGGGGCGUUAUUUCAGUCAUGGUUAAUUUGAUUCUUUUUGUUUCAUUUAUAUGUAAUGUAGCAUUAUUUUUUUUUGAAACCUAGACCCUGCCCUGUCAAUGCUCCUGACUCUGUUCAUCUGCCUCACUCCCCAGAACAUUUUAGUCAUAGCAAUUUAGUUAGAGCUGCCAAGUGGGAAAAAAAUCCACUUUCUGAUGUUAAAUGUGCAGUUCUAAAACCUAACAUACUCAGUCACAUUCUAGAUGUCCCCAGGUCUACACUGGCUACAGAAACUAAAGCAAGGUACACCAUCACCCAAGGAGACUCUGAGGACAUCAGAGGACAGAUGUGUCACAAAAGCUAGUAUAGGAGCCAAAAAAACCUGAAGUUACAUGAGGAUUGUCUCUCAAAAAAGCCAAAGCGCACUGAAGGGAUAGGACACGCAUCAGGUCUGAUAAUGCAAUCUGUCACAGGGCCAUGUUCCAGCCCUCUGUGGUGUCCUGGUGGGCCACGAGGAGCCUUGAUGAUGACAUGAUGGAACACCCACCCACAGUGGGUGGAGGGCAUUAUGAACCAGAACUCUGAGAGAUUCAACUCCUGGCACUAAAUACCUCAUCAGUGCUGCAUGCGGGACCAAGAGGAGGCAGCCCAGUGUGAUGCCCUGUCUGCAAGCAAGCUGGUUGCUUUCUAGGCCAGAAGCUA